UACAGAGGUCCCAAGCGUUGUUCGGAUUCAUUGGGCGUAAAGGGUGCGUAGGCGGCGCGGUAAGUCGGGUGUGAAAUCUCGGGCUUAACUCCGAAACUGCAUUCGAUACUGCCGUGCUUGAGGACUGGAGAGGAGACUGGAAUUUACGGUGUAGCGGUGAAAUGCGUAGAUAUCGUAAGGAAGACCAGUGGCGAAGGCGGGUCGUCGUGGACAGUUCCUGACGCUGAGGCACGAAGGCCAGGGGAGCAAACGGG
rnacentral:rRNA from 1 species